rnacentral:rRNA from 1 species
AUUGCAGAAUCCCGUGAACCAUCGAGUCUUUGAACGCAAGUUGCGCCCGAAGCCACUAGGUCGAGGGCACGUCUGCCUGGGCGUCACGCAUCGCGUCGCCCCCCAACCCCGCACUCCCUAAUGGGAGUUGAGGCGGAGGGGCGGAUAUUGGCCUCCCGUGUCU